rnacentral:rRNA from 1 species
AAAACAUAGCUCCUUGAAAUAAAAUAAGGAGUAACGCCUGCCCAAUGGAUAAUUCUAAAUGGCCGCGGUAUCCUGACCGUGCGAAGGUAGCAUAAUCACUUGUCUUCUAAAUAAAGACCCGUAUGAAUGGCAUCACAUUUUCUUACUGUCUCCUUUCUUCUCCUUCUAAACUCAUAUUAAUGUGAAGAGUCAUUAAUAAUCAAGAAAGACGAAAAGACCCUGUCGAGCUUAACCUUCCUUUAGAAAGAUAAUUUAACUUUUAAUAAAAUCUUUUCUAAUAAGAAGGAUUGGUUGGGGUAACCAAGGAGAAAAAAUAAUCUCCUGUAACAUAAAAAGAAAAUUAUUCAAUUAUAAAAUUAAAGAACCAGUUAAUUCUGGAAAACAGAAAAAGUUACCGCAGGGAUAACAGCGUAAUCUCCUUUAAGAGUCCAAAUUGACAAGGAGGAUCACGACCUCGAUGUUGGAUUGGGAUCACCAAAAGGUGCAGAAGCUUUUUAGGUUGGACUGUUCGUCCAUUAAUAUCCCACGUGAUCU